CUCCGGGCCGGCCGAGUAUGCGCACAGGAGACCUCUGAGCCGGUGGGAGGUGGCAUGGGGGCGAGUACGCAGACUGACGGGCACAGCCGGGACGGCGGCCGAGCUGGCCCCGGGCCCCGCCGCCUCGGGGAGCUCGCCGGAAGUGACUGCCGGGUGCGGCGCAGUGUCCAAGGUGGUGGCGCCGCGCCCGAGUGAGGAGCAGGGACUGCGUGAUGGCGGCCGUGGAGGGGGCCCCGGUCGAGCGGGAGGUUGGGGGUGGCCUGGAGAAAUUCAAGAUGCUGCAGGACGUGGCUGUGAAUGAAUCACAAAAGGAUGCCAGGCUCCAGGGCUGCACUCAGUGGAGUCUCUGCAAGGAAGAGAUGCUAGAGGAGAAGACAGAGCCAGCCUCACUGGCUAAGGGCUCUGUCCUCUAACUUAGAAUCCAUACACUCUGAGUUCUUAAGAGCUUUGAUGGGAAAACAAAAAACAAAGUUUUUGAAGAUCUCAGUGGAAUUAGAGGAUGAAGGAUUCCCAGUGGCUUUGAUUCUCGGAGAUUCUGAGGCCAGGAAUAAAAUGAAGAACUGGAAAUCAAAGAUGGAAAUUCAUGAAAAAUAGUCAGCAGGGGCUGUAUCAGAAAGAUUCCAAAAACAGAUCUCCCAGGAAUGUGGAUUAGUUGAAACCAGUGAUCAUGAGGACAGACUAAUGAAGCAUUGGGUAAGCCCCUUGGAGGAUUCGGUGAGACAGUUGCCUUUGCAAGAGAGAGGUAUUAGGGAAGUGAGUCUCAUCCCUAAGAAAGCCAUUACAGGAAAGAGAGGCCAUGGAUGUAAUGAAAGAGAAAACAUACUUUCUGCAAGAGAAAGAUCCCAUAGAUAUGAGUUCUGUGGCCAGAGCUUCGAGCCAAGUAACUCAACAUCAGAAAACUGAUAAUAUAAAGAAAACUUAUGAAUGUAAGGACUGUGGGAAAACUUUCAAUAGGAACUCAUACCUGAUUAUACGUCACAGGAUUCAUACAGGAAAUAAACCAUAUGUGUGUAAUGAAUGUGGGAAAGACUUUAAUCAAAGUUCAAACCUUAUUAUACAUCAGAGGAUUCAUACAGGAAAAAAACCUUAUGUAUGCCAUGAAUGUGGAAAAGACUUCAAUCAGAGCUCUAAUCUGGUCAGACAUUAAAGAAUUCAUAGUGGUGAGAAUCCUUAUGAAUGUAAAGAGUGUGGAAGGGCCUUCAAGGGAAACUCAAACCUUGUCCUACACCAGAGAAUUCAUAGUGGAGGAAAGCCAUAUGUAUGUAAUGUAUGUGGGAAGGCCUUCAAUCAAAGCUCAGAUCUUAUAAUACAUCACAGAAUGAAUUCACACUGGAGAGAAACCCUAUGAAUGUUAUGAAUGUGGACAAACCUUCAGUCAAACUUCACACCUUGUCACCCAUCAAAGAAUUCAUACCGGAGAGAAACCCUUCAAGUGUAAUGAAUGUGAAAAGGCCUUCAGGCAGCAUUCAUGCCUUACUGAACACUAGAGACUCCACACUGAAGAGAAACCCUAUGAAUGUUGCAAAUGUGGGAAAUCCUUCAGUGGGCGCACAGCUGUUCUUAAACAUCAGAAGCUGCAUACUGGAAAGGAACUUGAAUGUGAAAAAGCCUGUAUUUCUGACUUGGACCUUAUCAAACAACAGAGAAUUCAUAGGAAAGAAAAACCUUAUAGAUGUACUGAGUGUGGAAAAACUUUCCGAGGAAGUUCAGAUCUAAUAAGGCAUUGGAUAGUUCAUACUGGAGAGAAACCCUAUGAAUGCACUGAAUGUGGGAAAGCCUUUAGCCAGAGGUCACACCUUGUUACACAUCAGAAAAUUCACACUGGAGAGAAACCCUAUCAGUGCCGUGAAUGUGGGAAAGCCUUCCGGCAGCAUUCACUCCUCAUUCAGCAUCAGAGAAUUCAUAGUGGUGAGAAACCUUAUCAAUGUAAGGAAUGUGGGAAAGCCUUCAUCUGGCGCACAGCUUUUCUCAAACAUCAGAGACUUCGUACUAGAGAAAAACUUGAAUGUGAGAAAACAUUCAGCAAGAAUCUGUUGCUUAGAGAAGAGCAGCGAAUUCUCCAAGAGGAGAAAGCUUAUCAGUGUUACCAGUGUUGUAGAACUUUCCAUGGCAGCUCAGACCUCAUCAGACAUCAGGUAGCUCAUACAGGUGAGAAACUAUAUAAAUUUUAAAAAUGUGGGAAAACUUUCAAUCAGAGCUCAGACCUUUGAGACAUCAUAGAAUUCAUAGUGGUGAAAAACCUUAUAUAUGUAAUAAAUGUGGGAAAUAUUUUAGGGGCAGCUCAGAUCUUAUUAAACACCAGUGUGUACACACCAGAGAGAAACCCUAUGAAUGCCCUGAAUGUGGGAAGGCCUUCAGUCUGAACUCACACCUUAUUAGUCACCAGAGAAUUCAUACAGGAGAGACACCCUUUGAAUGUAGCAACUGUGGGAAGGCCUUCAGUGGGCGCAAAGCUUUUCUUAAACAUCAGAAACUUCAUACUAGAAAGGAAUUUGGGGAAUGUGAGUCUUCAUACAGGUCUAAUAGGUAACAGAAACCUAAUAAGUGUAGGAAGAGCCUGAUGGAGACCUCAUAUUAUUGAACUAAAGAUUUUUUUUUAACCAUGGAAAAGCUCUUGGACAUUAUGGCUUUUUUUCUGCCUCAGAGUUGACACUGGACAGUGAUCCCCAGGAUGUAAUUACUUGAGAAUGUUUUAGGGGACUUCUAUCAUUAUUAAAAUCAUUAGAUUAAAAAUGAUUUUGGCAACAACCCAAAAACUAAAUUCUUCAUGAAGGAGCCAUUUCAAUCUUGACUACCUAGUACAGUGGCAAGUACAAAUUGAUUUAAGUACUUUGGGGUGAUUAAAUCUUUCUCUGGGAUGAAUUAUUCCCCAUAGGUAUGUGUUUUAUACAUAUUCCACUUUUUUUCUUCCUUAUAAAAGUAUACUUAUGCAUAUGUGAUAAGUAAAUGGUACACUAAUUGAGAGGAAAUGAAAAAUAAUCAAAAUGGCAACAGGAUAGCUGAAGGCUAGGAACCAGAGCCAAUGAGGUGUUCCCCCAAGAAACACUUGUAACUUUGAGGAAUGAAAGAGCAAGAAACCAGGAGGACAGUAGGUGUUGGAAAUAGAAUUAGACUGAAUGCCAGGGCACAGCUUUGAGGAAACAUGAGUUGGUGGGAAUCAGAGGAAAUUAUCUACCAUGACCAGUCAGGUUAUUACAGGGAGAGUUCUUCUGUCUUGAACCAAAGCUUUGUAAUUAGGCACAGCUUAUUUGAGAAAUGGAGAGUCCAAAUAGAACUCUAUAGAGAUGCAAGUCAUCAUUUAACCUGAUAACUAAUAUUGGUAAUUAAGCUCUGCCUAUUUGGGCAAUCGAAUUCAAUAGUCAAAUGUUUGUGCUCUGAACUACUGACAGAUUGUAUAUUAAUUUACGUGAGUCAUCAAAGAAAGCUACCGAAUGGAACAAUAUAAGACAAGAAUUUCAACCUCAUAUCUUUCUUCAGUGGGAGUAGCUUGUGAGAUGCACAAAGGGGAUCAGUAUUUCUCAACUGGGGUGAUUUUGUCUCUCAGGGGACAUUUGGCUAUCUUUGGAGACAUUUUGGUCAUCACAAAUCGGAAUAAGAGUGGCAUCUCAAGACCUAGGAUGUUGUAAAAUAUCUGACAAUACACAGCUCCCCACAACAGAAUUAUCUGGCCCCAAGUGUCAGUAGUGCUAUGAUUAAGAAACCAUGCCCAUGGAUAUUUAGAACAUAAGUCACCUGGGGUCGUGUACAGAUUUCAGUGGAUGUGCAUAGUGGCAGUGCAUCCCAAGGGGAACCCAGGGUUUGACAGAAAUCUAAAGUUUGAUGAACUGUUUCAAGACAAGCAAUCUGGUACAGUGAAGGGAGCACAGACAUAAGCAAUCAGAGAUCAGUUUGAAUCCAGUAGAAUGUAUGGGCUUCAGGACCUUGAGCAAAUUAUGUAACCCCUCUGAUCCUUAUUUUCCUUGCUAAUAAAAUGGUGUUAAA